AACCUACGGGACGCAGCAGUGGGGAAUAUUGGGCAAUGGGCGCAAGCCUGACCCAGCAACGCCGCGUGAAGGAAGAAGGCUUUCGGGAUGUAAACUUCUUUUAUGAGGGACGAAACAAAUGACGGUACCUCAUGAAUAAGCCACGGCUAACUACGUGCCAGCAGCCGCGGUAAUACGUAGGUGGCAAGCGUUAUCCGGAUUUACUGGGUGUAAAGGGCGUGUAGGCGGGGCUG
rnacentral:rRNA from 1 species